rnacentral:rRNA from 1 species
UACGUAGGUGGCAAGCGUUAUCCGGAUUUAUUGGGCGUAAAGGGAACGCAGGCGGUCUUUUAAGUCAGCGGUAAAAAUUCGGGGCUCAACCCCGUCCGGCCGUUGAAACUGGGGGCCUUGAGUGGGCGAGAAGAAGGCGGAAUGCGUGGUGUAGCGGUGAAAUGCAUAGAUAUCACGCAGAACCCCGAUUGCGAAGGCAGCCUUCCGGCGCCCGACUGACGUUGAGGCUCGAAAGCGUGGGGAGCGAACAGG